AUGGCGACCGGCGCACGGGUGAGUAACGCGUAUCCAACCUGCCCUUUACUAUGGGACAGCCCGUCGAAAGGCGGAUUAAUACCGUAUGUUGUCAUGUUGAUGCAUAUUUUCAUGACCAAAGGCUUCGGCCGGUAAAGGAUGGGGAUGUGUCUGAUUAGCUUGCCGGCGGGGUAACGGCCCACCGGGGCGACGAUCAGUAGGGGUUCUGAGAGGAAGGUCCCCCACAUUGGAACUGAGACACGGUCCAAACUCCUACGGAAGGCAGCAG
rnacentral:rRNA from 1 species